UGCUUGCAGCCUGCUGAGGUGCCCUGGUGUUACUGUGUGUGGGCAGUGCCUGAAGCCUUCUGAAGAGGUGAGAUGUUAUUCUGUAUGGGUGGAAACUUUCUGAAAUUGUGUGGUGAUGCUCUGUAUAUUGUGGCUGUCUCAGCUCUGACAUACCAGCAUAAGGAAAGAUGAUGCAGAGCAUCAUAUCCCAGGUCUGAAGGAACAUGAGGUUCCUUCUGAAGCUCAACCAAAGGCAAAGAACCAGCAGCCAGAAAACAGAAGCUUCUGUGAACUUUGCAGUCACUGGGGUUCAAGUGGCUGCACAGGGCACAUUUCCCUGACCAUAAUGUUGGACAUGCAGACCAUGCAAGUUUGUGGGGAAGAAGGGGUGGCUUUGAACCAAAGGCAUUGAGUGGGAUGUCCCAUUGUUUGUAGGCACAGAGUUUGUGGUGGUUGGGAGUGGGGCUGGGCCCAGCCUCAUCCUUAAUGGGCUACAGGUGUGCAGGGCAGGUGAAUGCUGUUGAAGGGAACGAGCCAUGGAGUGCCCAGGGGCACUGACCAACCACCAAAGGGAACAGAGGGCACACAGGUGCAGGGCAGCAACAGCAGGGGAUAAAAGGCUGGGCUGAAGAACAAAGAGGAGCAGAUGCUUGAAGUCUUCUUUGGUGGUGGUUUUGGCUCCACCAUCAUCCUGAAACUUUGACUCUGAAAUUGUGCUGGCAUCCUAAAAUAUAUUUGAUGUACAACUUCCCCAGUAAGACAUUGAAAAAUUCUGCUCUCCUGAUGCAGAAACAGUGCUUCCAUCUCCUCCAAUUAAUUUUCAUCAGUGUUCUCCUAAAAGAGGUAUGUGCCUUUGAGAGAGAGGGGGAGAGCCACUGCAUAUGCAGUAAGGUGUGCAACACCCUCACAUCCUAAUCCUGCCAAAGGACACGGUUAAUGGAGAGAUGUGUAGAAUGCUUGUUUAUUCCACAGAAGAUAUUUCAGCUGGGGAUGAGGGCAUGUAUAAGGGAAGUAUAUUUUCUUAAGCUACAAGCAAUUGCAAUAAGGCCAAAGUGGCUGUAAAUAUCUUGUUUGGCACCCAGAAAAUGUAGAUUUUGGGGUCCAAACACAGUACAGAGUGUUAAAAGCUAAGAUCAUGAUUUCUUCCCAGUUCUGCUGGUCUCACUGAUGAAAAUAGUCCAGAAAAUUCAAGAACACCUGAUGUCUCUCAGUGGUGAGGGGCUUGAUAAGAGAUGUUCAAACUGGCAAAAUCCUUUCAUGUCCCAGUGUACUUAUGGCUAUUAAAUUUUUAGGGAGGUACUGCAAGAGUUAGUGAGGAAAGUAGGCCUGGAGAACAUGUCUGGAAGACUGAGAUUUUUCCAAGAAUAAUGUGAUCCAUCAGAGUGUUGUGCUCAUGUCAUUGCUGAAAGUUACUCUACUGCAUUUAUUGCCCAAACAGCUUCACUUUUUUAAAAAAGACAAACUGGUUUAUAACUGUUGGUAUUCUUGGAUGAUCCCUUUGGAAAACACUUCACAUUCCUUUGUGCAAGGAGCCUUUGGGGGUCUUUAAUGUUUUGGAUGUAUAGUACUGACUAGUGCCCAAUAGGAAUGCAGUUGGGAAGGAAGGUUGAGUUUGAUUUUUCACAGCACUGCGUCUUGUGUAACCCUUGAAAUCUGGGCACUGGUGUAGGAGAUAAAACAUCUCCCAGAGAAAAAUUCAGAGACCAUGCUGGCUUUACUGGCUUUGUUCUUUCUGUACUGCCACCAGAAACAGGAAACCAGCAGGAAAUAAAGCCUUCUAUUUCUGCUUUCAAAGCAAUGAAUCCACUUCCUUCUACUUCAGAUGGCAGCAGAUGAGCUACUCAUCCAGGCUCUCCUUAUAAUCACUGCUAAGGAAGAGGCAUUCCUAGAGCAUGAUUCAUGUGAGCUGUUUCACAUGCUGGCACGAGGAGGAGGUGAGAUGCACUGCUUCCCUCUGCCACCUGCAAAGAGAGGCUUUCCAUGUCUGCUUCAGAAGUUGGUGUCUCAUUUUCACUGACUGAGAACCCAGCCUAUAUGUUCAGCUGCUUCCCCUGAUUGUCUUAGUUAGCCCUCCUAAAGAAAGACUUUUUCUGAGCCAAACUCUGUGGGUUUUGGCAGCUGAGCAGCGCAAAAAUGCAAAACCUGGUGCAGAGGUGUAAUUCGUCCUCCAACUUAGAACAGACAAUUCCCAGAUGAAAACCUCUGUGUUUCCAGGACAUGCUCCUAUUGGAAGAAGUGCUUGUUGAUGCCCUUCCACCAGAAGCAGUGGACUCUGCAAGGGGUGAAUUACAUUUUUCUAAGGCUGGAGCCCAGGUUUGGCGAGAUGUGGGUUCCUUUUGGCUGCUCAUAAAAGAGAACAGCAAUUUCCUUUCAGAAGUGAGCACCAGUAGAAAAGAUGGGGUUUGACUCCUGCCUGUCUGCCCUUAUUGCAGGCAGGAUUGCCUCUGCAGCUGGUGUGUGUGCCUUCUGUCACACCUUUUUCUUCAGCUGCCUCACCCCUCUCCUGCAACCUUUUGCCAGAUUUUCAGACUUACACCUAGCUAUGAGUCUAAUGGGAGAAAAAAAUGAAGAAUGACUUAAAGGCCCUGCUGAAGAGGGAAAUAACUCUGCUUAUACAGGAGAAAAAUAUUAAGAGUUGGCUUGAAAAAAAACCUGGGAGAUGAAAUGAAGAUAAACUAGAAAACAGCAAACUGAUGGUAGACUGGAUGGUCAUUUUUUGUGGUUGAAAACUCUUACAAAUACCAGUGACCCUUGAAAGAUCUCUGAUUGAUUGGACAACUCUGGCUAAGUGGGGAACACAGCAGUAUAUUUUUCAUAUGGACAUGUCCUAGAGACUGUCCUGCUAGUACAGGCUCAGUAGCAUCUUUGAUAGCUUUUUCCUAACCCUUUUCCAUUGCCAUGACAGAUUCUGCAGGCUGCCAAGGGAGGAACAACAAAAAUCAAGCCAAGGGAGGUCUAAAAACCUCGCUCCAUCAAGUACAAUGUCUGCUGUGUGCAUUGUCAGGAAAGGUUUAGAUAUUGGCACAGACUUCUCUCCUGGAGGCAGGACAGUCAGGCAACUGAAUUCUCCAUAAAUUUUCCUGUCAUUCAUCUGCCAGGAGUAUUUUCCAGAAAUGCUGCUGUUCCAUCCAGGAACUCCCCUUUUGUAAUCGAAUGAUGAUUUAUUAUCCAAGCAAAGAAGAAAAAUAUAUUACCUUGGAAUUUUUGAAUGUGUAAUGAUAUGUAAGCCAUAAUAAUGAAUCACUCCUUUCCCUCCCCUCCCUUCCUCAUGUAUAUUUUAAAUAUAAAUUUCCAUAUCUGUCCUCCGAAGUUCUCCUUCACAAAGAAUUCCAGGUUAAGGUGUUGGAGAGUUUGAGAUACCUGAGUUAAGGAACAAACAAACAGAGCCAUGUGCCUUUCACCUCUCCACUCCCACAUUUCCUUGCCCUCCCCAUGUUGGGUCUCCUUGUGAGAGCCAUCUCUGUCUGUGACUCUUGGAUUAAGCCCUUUUCUGACCCAGAGAUGGGGCAACUGAGAGGUGUUUCAAGAACAACUUUUGUUCUAUUUUCAGUCUCAUGUGAAGGGUGAGACAAUACAGAUGUUAUAAUUCACAUCAUCAUAAUUAGAAGCCAAAUAUUUCUUUAUAAACGUUUCUUGGUCUAUCAGCUUUUGCCACGCCAUGCUGU